CCUACGGGUGGCUGCAGUGGGGAAUAUUGGACAAUGGGGGCAACCCUGAUCCAGCCAUGCCGCGUGUGUGAAGAAGGCCCUCGGGUUGUAAAGCACUUUCAGUGAGGAAGAACGCCUGGUGGUUAAUACCCAUCAGGAAAGACAUCACUCACAGAAGAAGCACCGGCUAACUCCGUGCCAGCAGCCGCGGUAAUACGGAGGGUGUGAGCGUUAAUCGGAAUUACUGGGCGUAAAGCGCGCGUAGGUGGCUUGAUAAGCCGGUUGUGAAAGCCCCGGGCUCAACCUGGGAACGGCAUCCGGAACUGUCAAGCUAGAGUGCAGGAGAGGAAGGUAGAAUUCCCGGUGUAGCGGUGAAAUGCGUAGAGAUCGGGAGGAAUACCAGUGGCGAAGGCGGCCUUCUGGACUGACACUGACACUGAGGUGCGAAAGCGUGGGUAGCAAACAGGAUUAGAUACCCCUGUAGUC
rnacentral:rRNA from 1 species